rnacentral:rRNA from 1 species
UACGUAGGGGGCAAGCGUUGUCCGGAAUCAUUGGGCGUAAAGAGCGUGUAGGCGGUUCGGUAAGUCGGCUGUGAAAGUCCAGGGCUCAACCCUGGGAUGCCGGUCGAUACUGCCGGACUAGAGUUCGGAAGAGGCGAGUGGAAUUCCCGGUGUAGCGGUGAAAUGCGCAGAUAUCGGGAGGAACACCUAUGGCGAAGGCAGCUCGCUGGGACGUUACUGACGCUGAGGCGCGAAAGCCAGGGGAGCGAACGGG